rfam:Aequorivita sublithincola DSM 14238, complete genome.
UACUUUUGCAACCUUGAUUAUCAAAACGGUAAUCGAUACAUAAAAAUCAUUUACACAAAUAUUAGCAUG